rnacentral:rRNA from 1 species
AUGCUGCCGCUGCUCUUCUGGGAGGAGCACGCCGUCUACAGGAAAAGGCCAGGCAUCCGCGACGCCGACCGCAGGCGCCGCCUCCGCAGCGACGAGUUCGUCGCCGUCUGGGUGCGCCAGACCCGCGACGUCGCCUUCGAGGCCGAGGACGCGCUCAACGACUUUCUCCGCCACGACCUCUUGGCGCGCGUCCGCCAGAUCAGGAAGCGGCUUGAAAAGAUCUCCGCCAACCGCGCCGCCUACCACAUCGAGCACGCGGCCUCGCCCGCCUGGGCCGUCUCCUCCGCUACCACCCUCGCCGCCUGGCGGUACCUUGUCGUCGUGGACGGCAGCAUCGCGGUUGCCGACUGGAACAGCCUCCGGGCGUCGCUCCUUGACGAGGGCAAUGGCAGCAGGGUGGCGCUGGUCACCGAUGCGGCGGGGCUGGAGGUGGUGGGCUAUGCUGGCGGGCUGACGUACGACCCCAUCGAGCUCACGCGGCUCAGCCCGGAGAACACGUGCCAAUUACUAAGGAGAGUCAACUUUAACUGGCUGGUCCUAAGGAUCGGGUUACAUGUUACUGACCCCUGGCUUCAAGAGUAUCAGACCAGGCAAGCAGCGGCGGCGCCGGACUGGUCACCCCUGCACCACCAGUCUUCCUUCGGGUAA